rnacentral:lncRNA from 1 species
CGAUCGGUACUGAGGUUGGAAGAAGGAUGGAGACUCUUUCGCUGGACGCUGAGUCCAGUAACAGUGUAAACCACAUAAGGGAUCCUUUGUUUUUCAGUCAGCCAUCGGGGAGCCAUUAACGAUAGAGAUAACGAUGUAUCAUUCGCCUUUCCGAUCCCGUUCGAGGGGCAACAACGGGCGUUUGAGGCGAAACUUUGAACCUCGUUCGUUACUGUUGUGCCCCGAGGCGUCCCC